UACGAAGGGGGCUAGCGUUGCUCGGAAUUACUGGGCGUAAAGCGCACGUAGGCGGCUUCUUAAGUCGGUGGUGAAAUCCUGGAGCUCAACUCCAGAACUGCCUUCGAUACUGGGAAGCUCGAGUCCGGGAGAGGUGAGUGGAACUGCGAGUGUAGAGGUGAAAUUCGUAGAUAUUCGCAAGAACACCAGUGGCGAAGGCGGCUCACUGGCCCGGUACUGACGCUGAGGUGCGAAAGCCAGGGGAGCAAACGGG
rnacentral:rRNA from 1 species